rnacentral:miRNA from 1 species
AGACAGAAAGAUAGAAAGAGAGGGAGAGACAGAGAGGGGGUGGGGGAAGAGACGGAGAAAAAGAAAGAGUCUCUCUCUCUCUCUCUCUCUCUCUCUCUCUCUCUCUCUCUUUCUUAUUUACUUUCUCU